ACGGCCGCGGUACCCUAACCGUGCGAAGGUAGCAUAAUCACUUGUUCUUUAAAUGAGGACUCGUAUCAACGGCAUCACGAGGAUCCUACUGUCUCCCCCCUCUAAUCGGUGAAACUGAUCUCUCCGUGAAGAAGCGGAGAUGUACAUAUAAGACGAGAAGACCCCAUGGAGCUUUAAACCCAACAACACCCGCCCCCCCCUCCAAAUCCUAUUAUUUACCCGGUGAUUGUUUGUUUGGUUUUAGGUUGGGGUGACCGCGGAGUAUAAGAUAUCCUCCAUGAAAAAAAGCUAACUGCCCUUAUUAGAGAAAGACACUUCCAAAAAAUAAUAAAUUAAUUUUAAAUGAUCCGACAUUCGAUCAACGAACCAAGUUACCCUGGGGAUAACAGCGCAAUCCGUCCCGAGAGCCCCUAUCGACAGGCGGGUUUACGACCUCGAUGUUGGAUCAGGGUAUCCUAGUGGUGCAGCAGCUACUAAAGGUUCGUUUGUUCAACGAUUAAAACCCU
rnacentral:rRNA from 1 species